GGACCUAUAGCUCAAUUGGUUAGAGUACCGCCUCGACAUGGCGGGGGUUGAAAGUUCGAGUCUUUCUAGGUCCACCA
rnacentral:tRNA from 3 species